UCUCCAUCGCCCUUAAAGCGACGCCCAGCGCACUCCCAGCUCAAGCGGAGGAGUCCGAAAUGGGAGGCACUCCGCUGCUCGGUGCCCGUACGAACCGCCUCGCCGCUUCCCUCUUCGUCCUCUGGUGAGACAAGCUGUAGAUUAAAAGUGUUCGCGCCGUCCUGCCUUUCAGAUUCAACAAGCCUGAACUUUUAUCCCAUCCUCCUACCUUCCAUCGUACCUUUCAGGUGGGAGGGAACGUCGGCAAGUCGGGCAUUCCAUCUUAAUGUCCAUCCAUCUCUGUAAGCAUCCAGUAUGGAAGCAGUGAUCGCAUGGUGUAACCUGUGGGAGUAGAGCUUAACUGUUAAGUCUAUGGCAACAGCAUUUUGGUUUCAGGGGGAAAAAAAUGGAACUCUCAAUACCAUGUAAUCAUUCAGACGUUGUGGAAGUUCGAUACCAGUCAUGCAAAUCACACAAUCAACUGCUUGAUUACUGUGGUUCCCGAGCUUUCGGUAGUAGUUAUAUUUCUCCGGUAGGAUCUGUAAAUCACAGGCAGUAAAAUAGUUGUACAAGCCAACUUAUGAAGCCUUGUGCAACUCCAGAAAGAACCAUCAACCGAGAAAAAGAACAUUUGAACUCUUUUCAGUAGAAUUGGAUAAAGACAUACCUGACGGGGAAUAAACCACCGGGAUCCAAAAUAAUUCUGAAACAGAAGGAUCAGUGCUUGCAAUGUCAUAAACAACAAGAAAUAUACACACCAACUUCGGUUGAUCUGAAUUCGCAGAAAGUUGUUCGGGCAACCAAAUAUGUAUAGUGGAAUUGCAGUACGAGUGAGCGUCAUGCCUAUUAUGUAAUGAGGGUGCAGGGGUUUCCUUGUAUCCCGAACAACAUUAGUGAUUAUCUGAGGGAUCCAAAACGAGUACAUAACUAAAAGAAUAGGACGAAGGAAAUUGUGCAGCUCAUACAUGAAGAGAACUCCUCCCAAAAGAAUGCCAU